AGCAGAAUUCUGAUGAGGCUGGGCUCUUUCGCAGCUGGCAUUUGAUGAGAAAAGGGAAUUGAAAUGUAGGUGAUUGAUUUGGACCUGGAGAAGCUGAUUGGAUGUCACCCUGUUCUUCCCGACAAUGGGGACCGGUCUGUGCAAAGGGGACUUCCUGUGACCCCUGCGGGUCCACCGGAAGUUCUGAUUUCUCCCCGUGGAAUAGGGGCGCGAAGGCUGCCCUGUCACACACGGCCCAAGAGAUUGAUUACCUGGGCUCUGGCAGCCUCUCUGGUGAAAAAAUAGAUGAAGUACUGACAGAUGCUACACCAUGGACGAAUCUUGAAAACAUUUAUGCUCGGCGAAAGAAGCCAGACACAGGAGAUCACACACUGUAUGACUCCAUUUCCAUGCAACGUGUAGAGCAGGCAUAUUUAGAGGGACUGAAAACAGAAGCAUGGUGGCCAGGGCCAUGGAGGAGUGAAGGGCCCUGGGGCUGAGGGCUAAAGUGUUUCUUUUUGGGCUAAUGAAAAAAUCCUAAAAUUGAUUGUGGUGAUGGAUGCACAACUCUGCGAAUAUUGUCAAAGCCACUGGAAUGUACACUUUAAGUGGGUGAGUUGUAUGGCACAUGAAUUAUAUCUCAAUAAAGCUGUUACAAAAAAAGUUAAAAAAAA
rnacentral:lncRNA from 1 species